GCGGAACCAGGACAACGAAGAUGAGUGGCCCCUGGCCGAGAUCCUGAGCGUGAAGGACAUCAGUGGCCGGAAGCUUUUCUACGUCCAUUACAUUGACUUCAACAAACGUCUGGAUGAAUGGGUGACGCACGAGCGGCUGGACCUAAAGAAGAUCCAGUUCCCCAAGAAAGAGGCCAAGACCCCCACCAAGAACGGACUUCCUGGGUCCCGUCCCGGCUCUCCAGAGAGAGAGGUGAAACGGAAGGUGGAGGUGGUUUCACCAGCAACUCCAGUGCCCAGCGAGACAGCCCCGGCCUCGGUUUUUCCCCAGAAUGGAGCAGCCCGUAGGGCAGUGGCAGCCCAGCCAGGACGGAAGCGAAAAUCGAAUUGUUUGGGCACUGAUGAGGAACUCACCACAUUGCCUGUCCUCUACCUGUGCGAGUUCUGCCUCAAGUACGGCCGUAGUCUCAAGUGUCUUCAGCGUCAUUUGGUAUGAGGGGUCCAGGGAGGCUGCCUUCCCAGCACCCUCCACGUUGCCCUUGUUCCUGAUCCUCCUCUCUUCCCCAGACCAAGUGUGACCUACGACAUCCUCCAGGCAAUGAGAUUUACCGCAAGGGCACCAUUUCCUUCUUUGAGAUUGAUGGACGUAAGAACAAG
rnacentral:sRNA from 1 species